rnacentral:lncRNA from 1 species
AUAGAUUUAAUCAAAUUUUAGAUUUAGUAUAAAUCAAUAAAAAAAAUAAAAACAAAAUAUUCAUAACAUACUUUAUAAAACUUUUUAAAAAUUCUUUAACGUGUUACUUAUAACUAGCUAUUAAACAUAACACUAAAUUGUUGAAGAAUUUCUUGAAUAUCAAUGAAGACGAGGAAAAUGUUUUUUUUUUAAAUAACAUGAACGGUAGGAUUCGAAGCUGCACAAGCAAAAUCCACAUGAUUUCUUUCUCUUUUUUUUUGAUCAAAACAAGACUAUUACUUCAAAAGUUAAUUUGGGUACAAUGAUAAACCCCGAAGGGCCUGUUUGGCUAUAAAAUCAGCGUUGGCACUAUCCAUUCUAGGGAUAGACUUAAACAAGCAAAUGCAAAACAAAAUGUCUGCAGUAAUUCUGUAAAUCGCAGAAGGUAUAGACUUUGAGAUUAUCGCUGAAAUCAGUAAUUGUGAAUCCGAACGGAAGAUCACUUGAUUAAAUUUCUCCGAUGCCGCAUGCAAAACUGCUGAUCGCAAUGCCAACGCUUCUGCCACAAGUACAAAUGCGACAUUAGAGAAUUUGGUACCUUUCUCCCCGAGAUGCAAACCGUUCCUUUCAAAUCUCCAACCCAAUCCAGCCUCAUGCGUUUCACUCCUCCAAGCCGCGUCCGAGGAACAGAUGAUCGAGUCAAUAGCUGGGGAGUUGCGAGCUCCUAUCGGUCGGGGUAGGAUUGGAUAUUUGAUUAUAGUCUCUUACAUUAAGUGCCAUUCCCGAGCAUCCUGCACGGCUCUCAAGACAGUUUCCGUUACCGACCACAUGAUUUCUAGUCACGCCCGAUAACCACUCAAGCAGCUUGUCCACUGUUUGUAUUAUAUUUAACUAUUUAAUUAGACAGUAUUUCUUGUGAACACAAAACAUUACGAGGAUGAGGCGCAUACACGAAACGACUACGUGAAAGAACAAACUGACAAAAAUAUUUGCUGUUUUUUUUUGGUUAAAUCUUUCUAUGUUAUUUAAAAAUUAGUUGGCACCAAACGGACAAAGUGAGACACUUACAUGAUCACGUGGAGAGAUAUUUGACGGAAAUAAUAGUUUCUUC